GACGAACGCUGGCGGCGUGCUUAACACAUGCAAGUCGAACGGAAAGGCCCUGCUUUUGUGGGGUGCUCGAGUGGCGAACGGGUGAGUAACACGUGAGUAACCUGCCCUUGACUUUGGGAUAACUUCAGGAAGCUGGGGCUAAUACCGGAUAGGAGCUCCUGCUGCAUGGUGGGGGUUGGAAAGUUUCGGCGGUUGGGGAUGGACUCGCGGCUUAUCAGCUUGUUGGUGGGGUAGUGGCUUACCAAGGCUUUGACGGGUAGCCGGCCUGAGAGGGUGACCGGCCACAUUGGGACUGAGAUACGGCCCAGACUCCUACGGGAGGCAGCAGUGGGGAAUAUUGCACAAUGGGCGGAAGCCUGAUGCAGCAACGCCGCGUGCGGGAUGACGGCCUUCGGGCUGUAAACCGCUUUCGCCUGUGACGAAGCGUGAGUGACGGUAAUGGGUAAAGAAGCACCGGCUAACUACGUG
rnacentral:rRNA from 1 species